ensembl:lncRNA
GCCUUUUAAAGAACUGAGUUUAAUGUGUGAAUUAAGAAGUUGCACAGAAAGAAGGAAUAAAUAUACGGAUAGGGGGCAACCCUGCCUCACUCCACGCUUUAGAGAGAAUCUUGGGAAGUACCAGUGGCAAGCUUUAUGGAGCUGUUACUAUUGGAAUACAGUGUCCGAACGGCAUUACAGAAGGACUGACCAAACCCAAAUUUAUUUAAAGCAGUAAAAAUAAACUCAUGCUCUAAGGAGUCAAACGCCUUAUAAAAGUCUAAAAAAAGAAUAAGACUAUCAUCCUGUACAAGUUCUGGGUAAUCUAUUAUAUCUAAAAUUAAUCUUAUGUUGUUUGAGAUAUGACGAUUCUGCAUGAAACCAGACUGACUCUCAUCAAUAACUUUAUCUAAUACAGGUUUCAUUCUAUUAGCCAGAAUUUGUGCCAAUAUCUUAUAAUCAUUAUUCAGUAAAGAGAUUGGUCGCCAGUUGUCUAAGAGCAAAGGAUCCUUUCCUGGUUUUGGAAUGAGGGUGAUCAAACCUUGACAUAAAGUGGGAGGGAGUGCACCUCUAUCCAUACUUUCCUUAAAAACUUCUAAAAGAAAUGGGGCUAAACUGUCAGCGAACUGUUUGUAAAACUCGGCAGGAAGGCCGUCAGUUCCAGGUGAUUUGUUAAUCUUUAGAUGUUUUAUAGCAUCUGCAACCUCGAUCAAAGAAAUUGAUCUGUCGCAGAGCUGACUAUCCUCCUCAUUCAGCUGAGUAAUUUUGUCUAAAGAAUUAAAAAAAGUUAGACAAGCUUGUUGCUACAAAAUGUAUUAUCUGUGAGAGCUUUAUUCCAAUAAAGUUUAAUGAAUCUCUGAACUUCACAAAUCACUUCUUUAUGCUCAAGAAUGGUACUAUUUAGCUUCCAGUAAGAGGUUUUAGUGAUUAGGGAGGAUGACAACAGGAUUGAUAAACUAACCAUUUUGUGGUCUGAGAGUGGUGUAGGAUAAAUAUCUGUUUUAACUUUUUCUAAAUCUUUUGAGAUAAGCCAAAACUCGAUACGUGAGUGUCUGGUUUGAGUCUUAUUACACCAUGUAUAAGCUAUCUGAGAUGAAUGAGAAUCCCUCCAAGAAUCGAUUAAGUUGAAUCUUUGUGCAAAGAGUCUUAUGAAUGAGUUAGAGUCUGAACUUCUAGAAGACAAUCUGUCCAAAUAGCUGUUAAACACUGUAUUAAAGUCUCCACCAAAAUAAUGAAAGAAUUGGGAUAUUUAGAUAACCAGCGCAGUAGGCGCUCCUCCAACCUAUCAAAAUAUAGUUUAUUCUCCCUCUGACAGUUAAAACCAUACACAUUGACUAAAAUAUAGAUAGACUGAGCAGCCUCAACUAUUAGAAAAAUGUAAUGACCAUCUUUAUCUAUGUCAGAAUUCAAGAUUUUACCAUUAAAUCUUCCUUUAAGUAUGCAAACACCAGCAGCACGCUCUGUACCAUGGGACAUCCACAGAUCAUCUCCCCAUUGCGAUCUCCAAAAUGUUUUUUCUUGUUCUGUUGAAUGAGACUCUUGUAUAAAACAGAAAUCUGAGUUGAACUGCUUGCAAAACAAAAAAAUAGCCUUGCGUUUAACAUUGUUUCUUAAACCUCUUGCAUUUAAAGAAAUAACAGACAGAGACAUAAGGAUAGUAACAAAAAUUAAAAGUGACAAAUAAGAAAAAGCUUAGACCAAGUAAAUGAAGAACAGUUGAAUUGGGAACCUGGUCACUUAAGAGAGUCCUAUAUAAGAUGAGAACUGCAACCCCUGAGUAAGGAAAUUGUGAACUUGAAUAAUAAGAAGAAUACAAUAGUCUAAAACAAUAAAACCAAUGUGGUAAAAAAAAAAAAAAAAGAUAAAAAAAAUAAACGCUUCACAUAUGAGCAUUGAAAGGGAGCUUAUUAGAAAUUUACUUGCUCCAUUUAAAUAACUAAUUAUUCAAAAAAGAAUAAACUAAAAAGAAGCUUAUUCAGCUUGCUCAUAAUAUUUUCAACAAAAAUAUUGCAGCCAAACUCAAGACCAAUAAACUUAUAACAAAUAAACUGCAUCAAUUUAACUCUGAUCAUUUUAUGAGUCCAACAACAAAAACAAAAGAAAGAAAAAAGAACGGCAGUGAAACCAAGUUAAUCUUAAGAUACUUCAGUUUUCACCUCAAAAUACCUUGGAUCAAAUUAUAGGGGUGGAAAAAUCUCUUUUCCCUCCACUAAUGCACGACCUCCUACGAAGAACGCCAGCUUGUUUUCUUUGCGGGCCAGAGUCUGUUUCUUCGGGCGCGGUCGUCAGGGGACAGAUCCUCAGCCAGCUUUAAGUUGUUACCUUUCAGGUAGGUGGACUUCUUAGCAGCGCGCCAGACAGCAUCGCGGUGGAUCCUGGAUGUAAACUGAAUGAUGAUUCCCCCGGGUUGGUUGUUGUUGGAUUUCUUGGGACCGAUGCGGUGGACGGUGUCAACGACGUCGGGGAAUUUAUCUUGCAUCUCCGGUAGGACCGAUCUACAGACUUUGAUCAUCUCCUGCCGCACGUCCUGCUUGUCCCUCUCGGUCAGACCGUAGAGCUUCAGAUUCCAACGGCGUGAAUAGCUCUCCAGACAACAUCAAAUGACUCCUUAACAGCUGUGAUGUGUUCAGUGUUCUCUUGGACAGCUUUUUUCAUCUCGGAGAUGACUAUGGAGUUGUCACUCACCAUUUUUUCAAGAGUGUCCGACCUCGAGUUAAUCAACAUGGUAAGUGAUGAGAGCUGGGAGAGAACCGUAGAUGUCUCCGUAUCCGCGACUUUUCUUAGUUUACCAGCGGGAGAGGCACAUGGAGUGAUAGGGAGAGGGGGAAACUCUUCUUCCAUCCGUGAAUACUGAAGCGGUUCGGAAACUGCCUCCAAAUAGUCGUGCAUGGAGUCGAUGAGAGUAUUUUUAGUGUCGGCGGGCUUCUCAGUAGCGAGAGAAGACUGAGCAGCUUGGCUAACAUUAGCAAGUUUGCUAACGGAGCCGCUGUUAGCUUGGAACUUCUUAGAUUCGGUCUUUCUCUUCUCGGGUUUGCUCAUUUUGGUUCACAAAUAGAUACCAAAACUAGAAGUAAAGGAUGACUAUUGUGUAGGCGUAAAUAAAGUCUCUGUUCACUGUGUGUAAUAUAUAUUUAAAAAAAGGCCAGGUUCGCAGAGCUCAACAAUACGUGACUGUUCAGUGCGCCAUCUUGGGAGCCCCUCGACUAUCACUGGUCGUCCAUCUUUUAUACAGUCAUUGGUUACCAGAGUCAGCUGGGGAUUCAUGAACAUCAUCAGUGAUGUUUCUCCACAGCGGGCUCAUCAGUACCUGGUGACAGAAGGUCAAUCCAGCUCUGACUUGAGGCUGUUCAAGAAUCAGCUCCACUUGAUCUGGUUCCACCUCUACCACAGGCAGAGAAACACAGGGUGAGAUCUUCUCCUGCCAGUCAUCACGCUAUAACUGUUUCUAGAAUCGAUUCAAUUCAGAUUCACGAGGUCCCGAAUCGAUCGAUUUGAUCAGGGAGAGGAUGGACA